AAACUGCGAAUGGCUCAUUAAAUCAGUUAUAGUUUAUUUGAUGGUACCUUACUACAUGGAUAACUGUGGUAAUUCUAGAGCUAAUACAUGCUGAAAAGCCCCGACUUCUGGAAGGGGUGUAUUUAUUAGAUAAAAAACCAAUGGCGGGUUUCCGUCUUGCGUUGAUUCAUGAUAACUGUUCGAAUCGCAUGGCCUUGCGCCGGCGAUGCUUCAUUCAAAUAUCUGCCCUAUCAACUUUCGAUGGUAGGAUAGGGGCCUACCAUGGUGAUGACGGGUAACGGGGAAUAAGGGUUCGAUUCCGGAGAGAGGGCCUGAGAAACGGCCCUCAGUCCUAAGGGACGCAGCAGGCGCGCAAAUUAUCCCAUCCCGACACGGGGAGAUAGUGACAAUAAAUAACAAUAUAGGGCUCUUUUGGGUCCUAUAAUUGGAAUGAGUACAAUUUAAAUCCCUUAACGAGGAUCAAUUGGAGGGCAAGUCUGGUGCCAGCAGCCGCGGUAAUUCCAGCUCCAAUAGCGUAUAUUAAAGUUGUUGCCGUUAAAAAGCUCGUAGUCGAACUUCGGCCUUUGCCGCCCGGUCCGCCUAUUUGGGUGUGUACUGGAGCGGUGGAGGCUUACCUCGUGGUGAACGGCCAUGUCCUUUACUGGGUGUGGUCGGGAACCAUGAUUUUUACUGUGAAAAAAUUAGAGUGUUCAAAGCAGGCUUACGCCCGAAUACAUUAGCAUGGAAUAAUAAAAUAGGACGUGCGGUCCUAUUUUGUUGGUUUCUAGGAUCGCCGUAAUGAUUAAUAGGGAUAGUUGGGGGCAUUCGUAUUCAAUUGUCAGAGGUGAAAUUCUUGGAUUUAUUGAAGACGAACUACUGCGAAAGCAUUUGCCAAGGAUGUUUUCAUUGAUCAAGAACGAAGGUUAGGGGAUCGAAAACGAUCAGAUACCGUUGUAGUCUUAACAGUAAACGAUGCCGACUAGGGAUCGGAUGAGAUUUUUAAUGACUCAUUCGGCACCUGAAGAGAAAUCUUUAAGUCAGGUUCGGG
rnacentral:rRNA from 1 species